GUGGGGAAUAUUGCACAAUGGGGGAAACCCUGAUGCAGCAACGCCGCGUGAGUGAAGAAGUAUUUCGGUAUGUAAAGCUCUAUCAGCAGGGAAGAUAAUGACGGUACCUGACUAAGAAGCUCCGGCUAAAUACGUGCCAGCAGCCGCGGUAAUACGUAUGGAGCAAGCGUUAUCCGGAUUUACUGGGUGUAAAGGGUGCGUAGGUGGCAGUGCAAGUCAGAUGUGAAAGGCCGGGGCUCAACCCCGGAGCUGCAUUUGAAACUGCUCGGCUAGAGUACAGGAGAGGCAGGCGGAAUUCCUAGUGUAGCGGUGAAAUGCGUAGAUAUUAGGAGGAACACCAGUGGCGAAGGCGGCCUGCUGGACUGUUACUGACACUGAGGCACGAAAGCGUGGGGAGCAAACAGGAUUAGAAACCCCUGUAGUCC
rnacentral:rRNA from 1 species